AUGCUCACUUCCACAGCACAUGUACUAAAAAAUUGGAAUGAUACAGAAAAAAUUAGCAUGAACCCUGUGCAAGGAAGACACACAAAUUUGUGAAAAAUCAGGAUAAUAU